CCUUCCCGGGCGGAGCAGGCGACGGCGGCGGACGGCAGGAUCGGCUGGCCGGCGGCGCCCACACCCGCCCCGGGGGCUUCCCCGGCCGCCGGCUUCCUUUUGCUCUUUCCGGGCGGCGAUGAGCGCGCAGGACCCGCGCGGAGGCUGCGGGCGCACAGGAGCCCGCGCUCCUAGCCACCUCUCAGGCCUCGGGAAGGAAGCCGGAGUGAGAUUGCGUUCUGCCCCGGACCGGCAGGUAUGGAUCUGGGGCUCCUGGCUUGAUCACCCGAGAGCCACCCCCCUCUUGGCCGCGGAGGAAGGUGUCUGCCAGGACGCAGAGCCCUGCAGCCGUCCAGAGCAUCGGACACCCUCCAGCCCCACCCCGGAGGCCUUCUGGCAUCAGCUCUGGUGCGGCAGCCCGAGCCCAGGAAACCUCUGGAUUUGCCUGUCUGGACUUUGGAGGGUGAAUGGAACCACGGACUCAGUGCCUUCUGCAUGUGGCCACUGUGCUGAGCAUAAGGGGCAUGGUCUAGCCACUCACUGCACCGCCCCAGCCCGGAGCCUCUGACCCUCGCCGUGUCUGGUUCUCCGCCGGCAGCAGGUGUAGUCACCGGCCACCAUGGGCAAGCAGAACAGCAAGCUGCGGCCAGGAGGUGCUGCAAGACCUGCGUGAGAACACGGAGUUCACCCAACCAUGAGCUGCAGGAGUGGUACAAGGGCUUCCUAAAGGACUGCCCCACCGGCCACCUCACCGUGGGCGAGUUCAAGAAGAUCUACGCCAACUUCUUCCCCUACGGCGACGCCUCCAAGUUCGCCUGAGCAUGUCUUCCGUGCACCUUUGACACCAACGGUGAUGGCACCAUCGACUUCCGGGAGUUCAUCAUCGCGCUGAGCGUGACUUCUCGGGGAAGCUGGAGCAGAAGCUCAAGUGGGCCUUCAGCAUGUAUGAUCUGGAUGGCAACGGGUACAUCAGCAGCAGCGAGAUGUUGGAGAUUGUGCAGGCAAACUGUCCCUGGAAGAAUUCAUCAAAGGUGCCAAGAGCGACCCCUCCAUCGUGCGGCUGCUGCAGUGCGACCCCAGCAGCGCCAGCCAGUUCUGAGGGUGGGGGUGGGGUGGGCGACGCGAGGAGCCCGGCUCCUGCCCUUCUCAGCUUUGCUCUCCAAAGCGGACGCCUCCGCCUCCAGCACCCUCCUGCCGGGCCGGCCAGUAACACGAAGCACCUGGCCUGCGGGCUCUGCCUCCCCUCCUCCGCCUGACCAGCCUGAUGUCCCCUCCCGCCCGGCCCGUCCCCUUCCAAAGUGACUCCGGGGAUGGAACUCUCCUCUGCAGGGCACGGCUUGCCGGGCUCCGGGCAGGACUUUCCAGGAGCGUGCCGAGGCCCGAGUUGGCCUCCCCAGCGCCAGCGCGGGGACUUCGUGGGCUGGGGUGGGACCGAAGAUGAAGACGAAGACAGCGGAGCACAGACAGCCGAGCCCCUCCCGUGCAUGGCCCGCCCCCUUGCCCACGUGACCAGAGCCCUUGCACGCGUCAUUCUGCGGUCCUUUCUUUUCAUAUGUAAAUUAUGUGUCUGCUGACGUGAGGUGUGACGUGUAGGUUCCCUAUUUGAAGCCUCCCGUCGCCCGUGCAGCAUGGUCCCGUGACCUGCGGUGGUCCCGUGGAUUUCGGCCUCGCACCCGCCCCGGUGCUGGAGAAGAUGCAUGCAUGCCCGGGGCCCUGGACGCUGCACCGUCCUUGUCGUGAGUGCAGGCAUCUGUGUGACCGUCCUUCCUGUUGACUGGUCUGGCAUUUCUGGUAUUAAAAUGAUCAAAUAAACGGAGUCCUGUGAGUGUCAUGUGCCUCGUAUUGAACAUACAGGGAGCGUCUCGGUGUGGAAGUCACGUUCCAAGGGGAUGGGUGGGGCCCGAGGCUCAGCCUGGGUCUGCAUCCUGCCUCCUCGGCCUCCGUCCGCCCCUGGGCCCGUGGCGGCUGGCCCUGUGGGGACGCCCAUCCCCCGCCCGGAAGUCGCACAUCGGGGCUGCGGGAAACCAUCACUGAGGAGCCUCGGGUCCUUCUGUGCCCCUCUCCCAC
rnacentral:lncRNA from 1 species